GGCCGGAUGCAGUCGCCUUGGCGUGGCAGUCUCUGAGCGCUCUGUGUCCGCGGUGGCCGUGCCCUGCCUCGCUACACUUGUCACGGCACUUGAAAUGAGAUUUGAGAUCCAGAACCUAAUAAACAAGUUUCUGUUUUGAUGUCUUUCUUUGUGCCAACACUGCAGUCAUCAAAGGAGCGAUAUAUAUGCAGUGGAUGAGAGAACUAAGCAACCACUCUGUCUGUAGGCACUGGCAGACCUGUCUAAUAUGGAUGAUAUAAGAAGAAUCCUGCACAUUGCCACAUGUUCACAAUUCCAGCACUCUGGAAGGCCGAGGCCGGAGGAUUCCAGAUUCAAGCUCAACCCUGCUAUAUAGCAGCUUAGUGAACAUACUACAUUCAUGCUCCCUGCAUCUUGCAGCGUUACAGCCUUCACCACUUUGGAACUCUGCUAAUAAGGAGGCCACCACCGUGAGCAGGUCCCUCAUCCUUGGACCAGAUCUAUGAGCCAGAAUAAACCUCUUGUUGAUAAAGUUACCCAGUCUCAGACAGGUUGUCACAGUGAUGAAAGCAGACCACUACAUGAGACCAUUGCAUCUGUAGUGGACCAAAUAUUUACUGGGUGCCCACUAGGUACCAGGUACCAUGCUAGAUCUAAAAGAAUGUAACACACAAGAACAAUAGAUCCCUACCCCUUUGGUACUUACAUCC